AUUGAACGCUGGCGGCAGGCUUAACACAUGCAAGUCGAGCGGAGAUGAGGUGCUUGCACCUUAUCUUAGCGGCGGACGGGUGAGUAAUGCUUAGGAAUCUGCCUAUUAGUGGGGGACAACAUUCCGAAAGGAAUGCUAAUACCGCAUACGCCCUACGGGGGAAAGCAGGGGAUCUUCGGACCUUGCGCUAAUAGAUGAGCCUAAGUCGGAUUAGCUAGUUGGUGGGGUAAAGGCCUACCAAGGCGACGAUCUGUAGCGGGUCUGAGAGGAUGAGCCGCCACACUGGGACUGAGACACGGCCCAGACUCCUACGGGAGGCAGCAGUGGGGAAUAUUGGACAAUGGGCUGAAGCCUGAUCCAGCCAUGCCGGGUGUGUGAAGAAGGCCUUUUGGUUGUAAAGCACUUUAAGCGAGGAGGAGGCUACCUGGAUUAAUACUCUAGGGUAGUGGACGUUACUCGCAGAAUAAGCACCGGCUAACUCUGUGCCAGCCGCCGCAGUAAAAC
rnacentral:rRNA from 1 species